UAGAUUAGUGAAUUUGAACGGAUUUUCAGUACUCGUGCCGAAAAGCAAGAACAAGUGAAAUUUACUCUAAAGUUCUAAACAUAAGUAUAAAGUAUUUAAGGAACAAUUAAAAUAGAUACGAUAUAUUAAAACAAUUGCUUAUAUAUAUAUACUCGUACUGUUUACUACAGUAUUUUUCAAAGGCUUCAAAGUUAAGGACUACUUUCAUAAAAAUGUUGCAACGAUACAAAAACGUGAACUCUAUCUUAAAUAAGUUUCACAAGGGAUUCGUAAAUGUAUGUAUUGCUACUACAUUAAUUACAGGUGCACUUUUUUCCUAUAAAGUAUACGAAUAUAUUCGAUAUAUACGGCCCCUUCACAAAACAAUGAAAAUGAAAGCUGAAGAAGAAUUACUAUCUGAAGGAAAACCUUUACAACUCUCUUAAAAUGACAUAUUAAAAAGUUUAAACUAUAAAUGAAAAUGUAAACACAUAUAUUAUAAUAGAAUAAUAAUCGUAAUAAAAAAAUGCACAAGGUAA